rnacentral:rRNA from 1 species
CACGUAGGGCGCGAGCGUUGUCCGGAAUUAUUGGGCGUAAAGAGCUCGUAGGCGGCCUGUUGCGUCCGCUGUGAAAACUCGGGGCUUAACCCCGAGCCUGCAGUGGAUACGGGCAGACUAGAGGUAGGUAGGGGAGAAUGGAAUUCCCGGUGUAGCGGUGAAAUGCGCAGAUAUCAGGAGGAACACCAAUGGCGAAGGCAGCUCGCUGGGACGUGACUGACGCUGAGACGCGAAAGCGUGGGGAGCAAACAGG